UCACACUAACACAUUCUUUCAUCUAAUUACAUAGAACAUGAUAGAUAAGUAACACUCUUCCUCUUUUUCUUUUGUCGUGAGUUGAGAGAGAAGAAAGGUGGGAAAUUUUUUGAAUUGCUUAGGAAAUACUAAAAGAAGGUCAAGAUGGAAGUAUGGGGAAUAUGUGAGCUUAAAAAUUUGUUUUAUCUUUCAAUUGUGUGUGUUAUUCAAACCCUAAAGGGUCAAAUCUUGGUGCUUUUAGUUGAAAGGAAUUAAACUCAUUCAUUCGCUUGGAACUCUUUGAGUUUGCUGCAACGAAGAGAUAAUGCAGUCUAUGAGUUAUAUGCUCAUAGUGAAAAUAGAGAUAAUUACCGUUCGCUGCAACGAAGAGAGAAUGCAGCCUAUGAAUUAAACGCUCGUAGUGAUUUGAUAUGAUUACUAUUCCCUACAACGAAGAGAUAAUGCAGCCUAUGAGUCAAGCACUCGUAGUAUAUUCAAAUUGAAAUAGGCGUCGUCUGAUGCAAUGAAGCGAUAAUACAUCCCACGUGCUAUAUAUGCUCGUAGAUACCGUUCACCACAACGAAGAGACAAUGUGGUUUAUGUGAACAUAAAUGAGAUAAAUGAUAUGAGAUAUGACAAGCUUAUUGUUUUCAAAAGGUGUUAUUUUAACCGUUGUAUUUUAGAUUCAGUGUUCUGAGUAUGAAUGACUUGAGAUUCUCAUUUGUAUUCAAAAGUUUAUUCUUUGUGGCAGAUGUAUAUCUUGAAUGGUGAGGAUAUAGUUUUUGUAUACAUCAUUUUAAUAAUUAAUUAACAUUUUGGAAUGUC
rnacentral:lncRNA from 1 species